GACGAACGCUGGCGGCGUGCUUAACACAUGCAAGUCGAACGGAAAGGCCCUGCUUUUGUGGGGUGCUCGAGUGGCGAACGGGUGAGUAACACGUGAGUAACCUGCCCUUGACUUUGGGAUAACUUCAGGAAACUGGGGCUAAUACCGGAUAGGAGCUCCUGCUGCAUGGUGGGGGUUGGAAAGUUUCGGCGGUUGGGGAUGGACUCGCGGCUUAUCAGCUUGUUGGUGGGGUAGUGGCUUGCCAAGGCUUUGACGGGUAGCCGGCCUGAGAGGGUGACCGGCCACAUUGGGACUGAGAUACGGCCCAGACUCCUACGGGAGGCAGCAGUGGUGAAUAUUGCACAAUGGGCGGAAGCCUGAUGCAGCAACGCCGCGUGCGGGAUGACGGCCUUCGGGUUGUAAACCGCUUUCGCCUGUGACGAAGCGUGAGUGACGGUAAUGGGUAAAGAAGCACCGGCUAACUACGUG
rnacentral:rRNA from 1 species